GAUCAUGGCUCAGGAUGAACGCUAGCUACAGGCUUAACACAUGCAAGUCGAGGGGCAGCAUGAAAGGAACUUCGGUUCUUUUUAGAUGGCGACCGGCGCACGGGUGCGUAACGCGUAUCGAACCUGCCUCAUACUCGGGGAUAGCCUUGCGAAAGUAAGAUUAAUACCCGGCGGUCUCGGAUGGCCGCAUGACUAUCCGUAGUGAAGAUUUAUCGGUAUGAGAUGGCGAUGCGU
rnacentral:rRNA from 1 species